rnacentral:other from 3 species
CGGUUAUAAAUCAACAUAUUGAUUUAUAAGCAUGGAAAUCCCCUGAGUGAAACAACGAAUUGCUGUGUGUAGUCUUUGCCCAUCUCCCACGAUGGGCUUUUUUUUA